rnacentral:rRNA from 1 species
UACGUAGGGGGGCUAGCGUUGUCCGGAAUUAUUGGGCGUAAAGAGCUCGUAGGCGGUUUGUCGCGUCUGCUGUGAAAACCCGAGGCUCAACCUCGGGCCUGCAGUGGGUACGGGCAGACUAGAGUGCGGUAGGGGGAGAUUGGAAUUCCUGGUGUAGCGGUGGAAUGCGCAGAUAUCAGGAGGAACACCGAUGGCGAAGGCAGAUCUCUGGGCCGUAACUGACGCUGAGGAGCGAAAGCAUGGGGAGCGAACAGG